AUUGAACGCUGGCGGCAUGCCUUACACAUGCAAGUCGAACGGCAGCACGGGAGCAAUCCUGGUGGCGAGUGGCGAACGGGUGAGUAAUACAUCGGAACGUGCCCAGUAGUGGGGGAUAACCCGGCGAAAGCCGGACUAAUACCGCAUACGACCUACGGGUGAAAGCGGGGGAUCGCAAGACCUCGCGCUAUCGGAGCGGCCGAUGUCAGAUUAGCUUGUUGGUGGGGUAAAAGCCUACCAAGGCGACGAUCUGUAGCUGGUCUGAGAGGACGACCAGCCACACUGGGACUGAGACACGGCCCAGACUCCUACGGGAGGCAGCAGUGGGGAAUUUUGGACAAUGGGCGCAAGCCUGAUCCAGCCAUGCCGCGUGCGGGAAGAAGGCCU
rnacentral:rRNA from 1 species